GAUGAGCGCUGGCGGCGUGCUUAACACAUGCAAGUCGAACGAAACACCUUAUUUGAUUUUCUUCGGAACUGAAGAUUUGGUGAUUGAGUGGCGGACGGGUGAGUAACGCGUGGGUAACCUGCCCUGUACAGGGGGAUAACAGUCAGAAAUGACUGCUAAUACCGCAUAAGACCACAGCACCGCAUGGUGCAGGGGUAAAAACUCCGGUGGUACAGGAUGGACCCGCGUCUGAUUAGCUGGUUGGUGAGGUAACGGCUCACCAAGGCGACGAUCAGUAGCCGGCUUGAGAGAGUGAACGGCCACAUUGGGACUGAGACACGGCCCAAACUCCUACGGGAGGCAGCAGUGGGGAAUAUUGCACAAUGGGGGAAACCCUGAUGCAGCGACGCCGCGUGAGUGAAGAAGUAUUUCGGUAUGUAAAGCUCUAUCAGCAGGGAAGAAAAUGACGGUACCUGACUAAGAAGCCCCGGCUAACUACGUG
rnacentral:rRNA from 1 species